UUACUAUAAUGAUGAGAAACAUUUUCAAUUAUUAUACAGUUAUCCCUGUCUUAAUAAAUUAUGUCGAGAACUUUUAAUCUGAGAUUUAA
rnacentral:snoRNA from 1 species